GGCCGCUUAGCUCAGCUGGUUAGAGCAUCGUACUAAUACUCAGACAGAGUAUCAGUCAAUGCGGAGGUCGGCAGUUCGAUCCUGUCAGUGGUCA
rnacentral:tRNA from 1 species